GAUGAACGCUGGCGGCGUGCCUAAUACAUGCAAGUCGAGCGAACAGACGAGGAGCUUGCUCCUCUGACGUUAGCGGCGGACGGGUGAGUAACACGUGGAUAACCUACCUAUAAGACUGGGAUAACUUCGGGAAACCGGAGCUAAUACCGGAUAAUAUAUUGAACCGCAUGGUUCAAUAGUGAAAGACGGUUUUGCUGUCACUUAUAGAUGGAUCCGCGCCGCAUUAGCUAGUUGGUAAGGUAACGGCUUACCAAGGCAACGAUGCGUAGCCGACCUGAGAGGGUGAUCGGCCACACUGGAACUGAGACACGGUCCAGACUCCUACGGGAGGCCGCAGUAGGGAAUCUGCCGCAAUGGGCGAAAGCCUGACGGAGCAGCGCCGCGUGAGUGAUGAAGGUCUUCGGAUCGUAAAGCUCUGUUAUUAGGGAAGAACAAAUGUGUAAGUAACUAUGCACGUCUUGACGGUACCUAAUCAGAAAGCCACGGCUAACUACGUG
rnacentral:rRNA from 1 species